AGGACAUUAAGAAGUGUUGUUAUAUGAUGAUUGAUCUUGAGUGACGCAUUACCUAGCUUCAAAGCAAGAACAAGAGGCCACGCAAGAGAUCAAACUCGAGUGUCAUCUCCAGAAUUUCAUAUGAAGAAAUCUGUUGCGAGACAGCCAUAGCUAGAGAUGAUACUAGCACGAAUUGAUUAACAAAAAUACCGUUGCUAUUAUUUACAUAGAUCAGCCUGUUUCUGGAGAAAUCUGCAUAGCGGCGUCGCUAAACAUCGAAGGCUGUAGCUGCUCCAUCUAUUGGGAGUUCCAGGUUUUCUUCACUCGCUGGAUUCUCGUACCCUGACUGCGCAAAUGCAGUGUAUUGAGGCACUUUGAAAGUCCUAAACUUGUCACAGUAUGUCAAUACCAUAGUU
rnacentral:lncRNA from 1 species